rnacentral:lncRNA from 1 species
CCUGUAAAAUUGAACCAGUAAAUGCACAUAAAUAAAAAAUGCUUUUCACAAUGCACUGCACCACAAAACUGUACUUCCUAGGUACCAUCCUCCAGAGAACCGAUCAUUUGGCCAUGCACUAGCAAGUUACAUAACCACAAAAUCAGAGGCCUAGAGAUAUUGCCUACUUGCUAAUGAAGCUUCAUCUAUUAAAACUAAGGCCAGUUUGCCCCCUAAAUGAAAUAUAACCACAAAAUCAGAGGCCUAGAGACAUUGCCUACUUGCUAAUGAAGCUUCAUCUAUUAAAACUAAGGCCAGUUUGUCCCCUAAAUGAAAUAUAACUAUUAAAACUAGGCUGCAAUCACAAUUUGGUAAACGUGAACCAUCUAGAAAUUCAUCCCUUCAUGACCAUGCAUGGACACUGUUAUUGAAAUUAAAUCUUUUAUGAAAUUCUUAACAGUAACUAUGCAAUUGCAACAAAAUAAAAUUACUGUCAU